CAUGUUUGUUAAAUUAAUCCCACAAAAAAGAGGAAUCAUCAUCAGUAUCUUAAAACAGCAAGAACGAUGCAAAAGUAAGAUAGCGAAAGGAGGAGCAGCUGCCCGCGAGGCAAUUUCGAAGGUCUUCGGAAUUCUUUAGAAAGUGGUGAAGCGAAGGUGCGUAUGAUGGAUACCUGGUAGUAGUUGAUGCACAUUGGGCAAUCGGGAAAAAGAAGAAAUCAGGAGUGUGAGGAAACGAAGGAGGAAGAAAUUAUCGAGGUGAUCCAGAGAGAACACUAAUCCACUAAUAAACAUAUCUAUACAUCCAAGUGCAAAUAUGCAUUUUAUUUAAUGAAGAUGCUGCCCUUGAUCUCACUUUGUUUAGCAGUAUUAUAUGCACCACUAAAUUUAAAAGCUAUUAAUUUUAUAUUUUUUUUCGAUUGAAAAAUAUUUAUAUUCUAUAUUUGUGAUGCAGAAAAAAUUUUUUUAAUUAGCAAUUUAGUUAUCAUUGUCAGAUAACAAAUUGAUUGAAUGAGGAAUAUAGAAAUGACAGAAGAACGGAGAAGGUGGACAGAAAUCACGGCCAACAACCGGCCAGUGCCCUGUCACAUCUGUGAAUGUAAAUACACUGAAAGAGGAGGGUGGACCACAACACCAGUAAUAACAGCACAGCACCAGCAGCGACAACAGGUUGCGUAAUCGGCGAAUAUCGACAGAGUACGAAAACGAAAGUUACGGGGCAAGGCCCUCAAGUGUGUGGGCAAGUAUGGGAAUAUUCGAUGACGCGGAAAGAAGAAAUGGAAGACAGGAGAAGAUAAGAGAGUGUCCCCGUGCAUCUUCGGGUGGAGGCCGUUAAUUUAUAAUAAAACAUGAGAAGAAAGCCUUGAAUUCCACGAGUGGACCAGACGACCGCGGCACUGCUGUGUGUAGACCCAGUGACACGCAUAUCGCAUAUAUAUGUAUAAUAUACAGACAAGCCAUCAUUAUUUUUUUUUCUUUUUUUUUUAUAAAUAAAAUUAUAGUUAUACUCGAGCGCAUUAUUGGAAGAAAUAAUAAAUAGAUGGACAGAUAGAUGAAUGAUGAUGAUGUUGAUAAUAAUGAUAAUGAAGAAGAAAGGAGUUAACCAUGAUGAUGUCGACACUGAGAAAUCGAGUUUAAUCGUUUGAUCUGUCUUUCCCUAAUCACUUUUCUCUUUUACUCAUGAUUUACCUACUUGAUGAUCUCUUUCUUUCUUCCUUAUAUUCCAGGUGUACACGGAGAAAGUCACAUCGUCACGAUGUCAUGUGUUAGGUUUAUGUAGGUAUACGUUAUACUUACAUACCUAGAGAAGAAAGAGUAAUAUAAUGAUAAUGAGAAUAAGAAACGAUACUAAUGCUUAGUGUAGGUUCACACUAUUGAUUAUAAACGGCCGCUAAAACUGAAGGGCAAUGCUCGUUUCUUUUCUUCGUUUAAUUAUCAAUAUUAUCUAAUCAGACCCAAGGUCCCGGAAGAAGAAAAGCUUACUGAGGGUGAUAGUUGUUUUAAGAUGACAACUUGUAAUACUUUAGUAGGUCUCGUUAUUGCUAGUUGGAAUAUCAAGACAGUUGGAACUCUAUAGGCAUACAUCAAGUCUUUCUAUUGAUUGAUGUAUACAAAGAUAUAUAACGGGUUAAGAACAAGUAACAUGACCUCUCUUUUUAUCCAUACUGAUAAACUCUCAAUGGAGAAAUGAUG